UACGGAGGGGGCUAGCGUUGUUCGGAAUUACUGGGCGUAAAGCGCACGUAGGCGGCUUGUAAGUCAGAGGUGAAAGCCCGGAGCUUAACUCCGGAAUUGCCUUUGAGACUGCAUCGCUUGAAUCAGGAGAGGUGAGUGGAAUUCCGAGUGUAGAGGUGAAAUUCGUAGAUAUUCGGAAGAACACCAGUGGCGAAGGCGGCCUCACUGGAGCUGGUAUUGACGCUGAGGUGCGAAAGCGUGGGGAGCAAACAGG
rnacentral:rRNA from 1 species